rnacentral:rRNA from 1 species
UGAGGAAUAUUGGUCAAUGGGCGGGGAGCCUGAACCAGCCAAGCCGCGUGAGGGAGGAAGGCCCUAUGGGUCGUAAACCUCUUUUGUCAGGGAACAAAAGCGAGUAUGUAUACUAGUCUGAGUGUACCUGAAGAAAAAGCAUCGGCUAACUCCGUGCCAGCAGCCGCGGUAAUACGGAGGAUGCGAGCGUUAUCCGGAUUUAUUGGGUUUAAAGGGUGCGUAGGCGGCGGUGCAAGUCAGCGGUAAAAGCCCGGGGCUCAACCCCGGCGAGCCGUUGAAACUGCAGUGCUAGAGAAGGCGAGAGGUACGCGGAAUGCGCAGUGUAGCGGUGAAAUGCUUAGAUAUUGCGCAGAACUCCGAUUGCGAAGGCAGCGUACUGGCGCCUGACUGACGCUGAGGCACGAAAGCGUGGGGAUCGAACAGGAUUAGAUACCC